AAAAUUAUAAAAAAAAAAAAAAAAAAAAGAUAAUAAACAAAGUGAUGGCUUGACCGUUGAAACACAGAAAAAUCUAAAUCUAAGUGUAUAUAAUAUUGUAUAUAUAUUUAUAUCAUGUAUUUUGUGGAAUAAACUAACACGUUUCUUACUUUGAAAACAAAAUUUAAAAAAUCAAAAGACAUUUAUACGUUUCCUUUCUUUUUACUUAACAACUUUUUACUUAACAACUUUUUACUUAAUAACUUUUUACUUAAUAACAUUGUUAAAUUUUUUUUUUUUUUUUUUUCGUUUUUCACAGGUUUGGAUAGUUAUAAACUAUUUUAACAUUACUUUGAAUGUGUGCUAUAUUUUUGAUUAUAAAUAUAUUUUUUUGGUUUCACUAGUUACAUAAGAUAUCUAACAUAUGCAUUUAGUACAUAAAAAGAAAAAAAGUUGUAUGUUCUGUCCAAUUAGUCUGUCUUCCUGCCUGCCUGCAUAUUUGCGUUUGUUUUUUUUUCACUUAUAUAUAUACAUCAACUUUAAAAAAAACUAUACUAUUUGUGUAAAGAGUUUAUUUUAUUUUUUUUUUGAGGAGACCUAUUUUUUUAAAAAAUGAAAGAUGUUCGAAAAGAGAUAAAUCAUAUAAAAGAAUUUAUUGACACAUUUUGUUUUGCAAAAAAUGUAAAGAUAGUUACUGAUGAAUCAGUUCUAAAAAAAAUUAACAAAACAUCUAAAGAAAAUAACACAAGUGUAGUUAAUUUGUAUUCUUCGUAUGCUUUAUGGCUGUGUAUGAAUGAAAUAUAUCCAGCAUGGUUUGAUCUUUCGAUUCAUCCUGCUCAGUUUGAUUUUGAAGCGGACGCCACCGAGUGUUUAAUCAAGUAUUUGAAUGAGUACCAUGAAAAAAAAUAUGAUAAAAUAAUAAAUAACGCGUUAAUAAAUAUUAACACCCUAACAGUAAGCCAUUUUAUUGAUAUAUACAAUUUAGUCAUACUAGCAGCUUUAGUAUCGGAUGAUAAACAAAGACAUAUAACUAAUAUUUUAUCACUUAAACAUGAAACACAAAAAUAUAUACACAAAAUUAUAGAAUAUUUAGAAAAAGAGAAAAAUCUAAAUCAGGAUAAUAAAUUAUUAACACAUAAUAAUUCUGAAAUUAGUAAGACAAAAAAAAAUUGCACAUAA
ensembl:lncRNA